CAGUUACGUACUCGUAAUUAACCACACGAGGUGGUAGCUUGGGGUUUACUUCCACAGGUUCGCAUAAGAUGUAGGUAUUGGAUCAACCUCUGUACCAAGUUGAGUUGAAUUUUUUAUUUGACUUUCGAAUGAGAAUGAGAAUGAGAAUAGCUGAAUUUCUAGGUGAGUAUCCAUUCGCAUUACAGGUGUUUGAUAAUAUACUCAUGUCAUUCUAUCCUCUGUAAAAUCAAAUCGUUUAGGUGAGUAUCCAUUCGCAUUACAGGUGUUUGAUAAUAUGCUUGUGCCCAUCUAUGCUUUGUAAUUAAGCCAUAGAUUGACACAACAGGCCACAUAAACAGAGAAGGGAAUCAAUCUAGCCUUGCCUUUAUGGAAAGUUAUCUGCCUUUAACUCUGAACUUAAUUAGUUCUGAGACUAAAUGGUGGUUGGUUAUUUGAGUAAUCCUUAAUGGAGUUACUGAUGAUGCAGUUUUAGUUUCAGUAUCUUAAACCUAACCAAUCAACUUCAAUUUUUCUGAAGUAGCAAUUAGUGACUUUUCCGGUCUUGGUUGUGUUAGUUGGCAGAGAUAUCCAGGUGAUCACUGUUGUUGAAGAGCUCCAUUCGAUCCAAAUACACUUCUUGGUUACAAUGCGCAUGAUAAGAUACAUCACUACCCGACAUUUGUUUGGAGGAUGGCACCAAGGUUUGGGGCACUUCCAUUUCUCUUUAGCAAUAGUGAGGUAUCCUAAGGUUAUUGAGAAAAAAACCUAACAAGAAAGUGAACUUUGAGAGUUAGACUUGAGUGGAUCAAAUUCGUCCUUAAAAAGGUGACUUCUACAUGAUCUCUCUCU